rnacentral:rRNA from 1 species
GACGUAGGGCGCGAGCGUUGUCCGGAUUUAUUGGGCGUAAAGAGCUCGUAGGCGGCUUGUUGCGUCGACCGUGAAAACCCGGGGCUCAACUUCGGGCUUGCGGUCGAUACGGGCGGGCUAGAGUUCGGUAGGGGAGACUGGAAUUCCUGGUGUAGCGGUGAAAUGCGCAGAUAUCAGGAGGAACACCGGUGGCGAAGGCGGGUCUCUGGACAAUUCCUGACACUGAUGCUCGAAAGCUAGGGGAGCAAACGGG